rnacentral:rRNA from 1 species
CUACGGGUCGCACCAGUGAGGAAUAUUGCACAAUGGGGGGAACCCUGAUGCAGCAACGCCGCGUGGAGGAUGACGCAUUUCGGUGUGUAAACUCCUUUUAUAUGUCAAGAAAAUGACGGUAGCAUAUGAAUAAGCACCGGCUAACUCCGUGCCAGCAGCCGCGGUAAUACGGAGGGUGCAAGCGUUACUCGGAAUCACUGGGCGUAAAGGACGCGUAGGCGGGUUGGAAAGUCAGGUGGGAAAUCCUACAGCUUAACUGUAGAACUGCACUUGAAACUUCUAAGCUAGAGUAUGGGAGGGGGGGAUGGAAUUAGUGGUGUAGGGGUAAAAUCCGUAGAUAUCACUAGGAAUACCUAAAGCGAAGGCGAUCUCCUGGAACAUUACUGACGCUAAGGCGUGAAAGCGUGGGGAGCAAACAGGAUUAGAUACCCGUGUAGUC